UUUCUUUUUUUUUUAUCCCUAAUUUUUGCCUGAACCUUUUCUUUCUGUUUUUUUUGGUUCGCCGGGAUGCCCAUUUUUGCCUAGACUAUUUUAUUCUUUUCGUCCAGCGGGUCCCUUUAUACGAAGUAUUUUUUAACUGCGUCCGCAUUCACAGGGGAUGGAAAAUCCUCGCCAUCCAUGGUCGUUAACAACAAGGCUCCACCAGAGAAAACCUUCUUGACCACGAAUGGACCUUCA
rnacentral:lncRNA from 1 species